AUUGAACGCUGGCGGCAUGCCUUACACAUGCAAGUCGAACGGCAGCAUGGGUGCUUGCACCUGAUGGCGAGUGGCGAACGGGUGAGUAUGCAUCGGAACGUGCCCUGAAGCGGGGGAUACCGUAGCGAAAGUUACGCUAAUACUGCAUAGUCUGUGAGCCGGAAAGAGGGGGAUCGCACGACAUGUUGCUUGACGAGCGGCCGAUGUGGAAUUAGAGGGUUGGUGGGGUAAGGGCUCACCAAGGCGACGAGCCGUAGCGGGUCUGAGAGGAUGAUCCGCCACACUGGGACUGAGACACGGCCCAGGCUCCUACGGGGGGCAGCAGUGGGGAAUUUUGGACAAUGGGCGCAAGCCUGAUCCAGCCAUGCCGCGUGAGUGAAGAAGGCCUUCGGGUUGUAAAGCUCUUUCGGUUGGGAAGAAAUUGCUUGGGUUAAUACCCUAAGUAGAUGACGGUACCAGCAUAAGAAGCACCGGCUAACUACGUGCCAGCAGCCGCGGUAA
rnacentral:rRNA from 1 species